GGAAUGAUGGCUCUUAACUUGUAAAGCAUCGUUAGGUUUGAGAUUUACCUCACAAAACUGUGACCAGGGGAAUCAGCACAGCUUGGUGAAGAUAGAUGUGCUUUAAUCAAUAGACUUGAGUUCCUGUUCUGGCUUCCUUGACCUGGGGCAAGCCAGCUGUCCUGUCAUGAGCAGCCCAAUGGAGAGGCACCCCCUAUGGAGGGGUCUACAUGACAAGGAACUGAGUCCUUUUGCCAAGGACCAUGUGAGUCAGAGCCUUUUUGGAAGUGGAUCCAAUGGGCAUGGUCAACCUUCAGAUGACAGCAGCCCUCACUGAUAUUUUGAUGGCCACAUCCUGAGAGCUCCUGAGCCAGAAACAUCCACCAAAGCAGCUCCUAGAUUCCUGAACCACGGACACUGGGUUUCAGCUGUGCUAAUCCUCACUUGAAUGUGGGGCAGCCUCCUUCCAUCCUCUCAGUCACCCUAGCACCCAUGGAAGAUGCCGCUCCCUGUUCAGCUGCACUCAGAGGACCUUCAUUUUCAUCUGCUAUUAAAAGUCUGUUUGAUGAAACAGCAGCCAGGCUCAAGAGACCACUUGGUUGGUUGAAAACUCCCGGGUUAGAGAACGGUGCUGAGGUCAAGGUCAAAAAGUCAUCAGGGCAGGAUUUCCUUCCCAAAGGAGACAGUGUUUCAGUGACAAUGACUCAGUGCAAGGUAUCACUAUUAUGAUUGAAACAAAUACGAACAACAACACAAGACACGUCCAAUGCAGUGCACACGGUGUACUAGCUGAAAGCGACCAGAGUGGUGAAUUCUGACUCUGUGCCUUUGCAACCUGGGUUCGAAUCCUGCCUCCACCACUUAGCACUGGCUUCCUGUGGCUACUUGAACCUCCCUGUCUUCAUUUCUGCUAUGUGAAUAAUCAUCAUGCCUGCCUUGCAAGACAAUGAGGCUCUCAGUAAGUGUUACCAAUUACUGAAAUUAAAUUCAUGAUGAUACUUUAUACCUCUUUCAAGCCAAAGUUUUUUAUAUUACAGGGAAGUUUGUACAUGUGUUAACUCCUCCAAACUACAGGUACUUUCUUCUGUUUCUUCAUCUUUGUGCCUUUGCAAAGCUUAACUCUGGGGACGCCUGGGUGGUUCAGUGGUUGAGCAUCUGCUUUUGGCUCAGGGCAUGAUACUGGGGUCCUUGGAUCGAGUCCUGCAUCAGGCUCUCUCCAGGGAGCCUGCUUCUCCCUCUGCCUACGUCUCUGCCUCUCUCUGUAUCUCUCAUGAACAAUAAAUACAAUCUCAAAAAAAUAAAUAAAACUUAACCCAGUGCUUUGGGCACAGUAGGCCUCCAGGAAAUAUUUGUUAAAUAAGUAAAUGUCCUAAAUAUAGUGGGUCUGCAGGGAAAGGCUUGUACACAUAAUCUCUCUAGUUAGAAACCUAUGAGAAUGUCAUGUGCCUUUUGAUUACUCUAUAAAUAUUUUAUAUUAGUAACAAGAAUGUAAUG